AUGCAUUGGUGGGCUUGGUGGAAAUUGUGCUUUCCAAAGAAGGAAGGGGGGAUGGGCUUCCGUGACCUCCAUUCUUUCAAUUUGGCGAUGUUGACGAAGCAAUGUUGGAGGCUACUUGAUGAUCCAGAGUCUUUAUGUGCUAGGAUCCUCCGAGCAAAGUACUACCCUUCAGGUGACCUUCUCUCAGCUGGACCAAAAAAAGGUUCUUCCUUUACAUGGCAGAGUAUCUUUGCAGGCAUUCAAACAUUUAAACGUGGCCAUAUAUGGAGGAUUGGAAAUGGUGAAAAGGUAAAUGUUUGGAAUGAUCACUGGAUACCCACUAGUCCGUCGAGGAAAGUUAUUACACCAAGGAAUGGAGUAUUGAUCACCAAAGUAAGCGAGUUAAUUGACCCUACGACUGAAACAUGGGAUGUAGAGCUUAUACGGGACAUAUUUAACCCAGUCGAUGUUAACCGUAUCCUGCAAAUUCCUUUGAGCUACAACUCUUUUGAGGAUUUUAUAGCCUGGAAUGGGACAAGAUCAGGGUAUUUUUCAGUCAGGUCAGCAUACCAUUGUGAGUGGAAACACCAAUAUCAAAAUAGUGGCAUUGUUCCUGCAGGUCCCGCUGCACCAAACCCAGUAUGGUCCAUCUUGUGGAAGUUGCAGAUUCCAGGUAAAAUAAAGAUAUUCUGCUAG
rnacentral:rRNA from 1 species